ensembl:miRNA aca-mir-5401 aca-mir-5401
GCGGGGCGGCCUCUGGGCCGAGGAGGCGCCGCCGGAGAGCCGUAUCUUCGCCGCGGUGCUGCUCUUCUCGUGGGCCGUCUACC